UACAUGGGGUGCAAACGUUGCUCGGAAUUAUUGGGCGUAAAGCGCACGUAGGCGGUUUGUUAAGUCGGAUGUGAAAUCCCCAGGCUCAACCUGGGAACUGCACUUGAAACUGGUCGCCUUGAGUGUUGGAGAGGGAAGCGGAAUUCCUGGUGUAGAGGUGAAAUUCGUAGAUAUCAGGAGGAACACCGGUGGCGAAGGCGGCUUCCUGGACAAUUACUGACGCUGAGACGCGAAAGCGUGGGGAGCAAACAGG
rnacentral:rRNA from 1 species